AACGAACGCUGGCGGCAUGCCUAACACAUGCAAGUCGAACGAAGCCUUCGGGCUUAGUGGCGCACGGGUGCGUAACGCGUGGGAAUCUGCCCUUAGGUACGGAAUAACUCAGGGAAACUUGUGCUAAUACCGUAUGAUGUCGAGAGACCAAAGAUUUAUCGCCCAAGGAUGAGCCCGCGUAAGAUUAGCUAGUUGGUGGGGUAAAAGCCUACCAAGGCGACGAUCUUUAGCUGGUCUGAGAGGAUGAUCAGCCACACUGGGACUGAGACACGGCCCAGACUCCUACGGGAGGCAGCAGUGGGGAAUAUUGGACAAUGGGCGAAAGCCUGAUCCAGCAAUGCCGCGUGAGUGAUGAAGGCCCUAGGGUUGUAAAGCUCUUUUACCAGGGAUGAUAAUGACAGUACCUGGAGAAUAAGCUCCGGCUAACUCCGUGCCAGCAGCCGC
rnacentral:rRNA from 1 species